AAAAAGUAGGAUUUACAACUACCGGUUACUGGGUAGAAAACCAACAAGAGAAGGAAACUCGUCAUCGAUUAAGAUGAACAUAUCAAGGAUUAACUCUCUGAGGUACAAAAAUAGGAAUUACAACUACCUUUUUAUUGGGCAGAAAACCAAGGCAGAGAAUAUCCGUCACUAGUUAAAGUGAACAUAUCAAGGAUAGACUCCUGCGGGGGAAGAAAAGAUAUCCGUCACCGAUUAAGAUGAACAUAUCAAGGAUAUACUUCCAGGGGACUUCACUAAGGAGAAAAAGGGUACUUUUUCCAGGUAUUGGGCAAGAAGUAACAAACUGCAAACU
rnacentral:lncRNA from 1 species